GCUGCUUUCUCCUACUUUCAACAUGUUUAAGUAAAAUCUCCUGAUCUAUAAAUUUGCUUCAGAGAAGCUUAUGAUUUACCUUUCUCUCUUCCAACCUCUUCUUCAGGUGCUUCACUUCUGAUCCGACCUCAUGGACUCCUGAGAGUAGCAUUGGGGAGGCCUAAACUCCCUUGGCAGUAGAGCAUCCAUCUCCUCAAGAAGCUCUUUCUCCAUGGCUCAUCCUUUUGAAAGUUUUGGCCCUCUUGGAUGGACCACCACUGGAGCUCCUU
rnacentral:lncRNA from 1 species